AUUGAACGCUGGCGGCAGGCCUAACACAUGCAAGUCGAACGAGUGGCGGACGGGUGAGUAAUGUCUGGGAAACUGCCUGAUGGAGGGGGAUAACUACUGGAAACGGUAGCUAAUACCGCAUACCCUCGGAUGUGCCCAGAUGGGAUUAGCUAGUAGGUGGGGUAACGGCUCACCUCGGCGACGAUCCCUAGCUGGUCUGAGAGGAUGACCAGCCACCCGGGAACUGAGACACUGUCCAGCCUCCUACGUGAGGCAGCAGUGGGGAAUAUUGCACAAUGGGCGCAAGCCUGAUGCAGCCAUGCCGCGGGUGUGAAGAAGGCCUUCGGGUUGUAAAGCACUUUCAGCGGGGAGGCGUUACCCGCAGAAGAAGCAACGUCUAACUCCGUGCCAGCAGCCGCGGUAAGAC
rnacentral:rRNA from 1 species